rnacentral:lncRNA from 1 species
UCAUAGAAGAAAUGUACUUGUAAUAAAGGUGCAACUAGAGUACGCAAAACAACAAACAACCUCAUAUAAUCUGUUACAAGUACUAUCAACGGUUCAAAAGAAAAAUUCAAGAUGUUCGUCAACGAUUCAUCACAACAUAAACACAUGUUUGACUGGCGAAUGCUCCGACACAUGUUUGCGGGCGUCAAAGUGUGAAGGAGACUUAUGACGGCAAAGCGUGGUUGCCCAUGCUUCCGCGAGAUCAGGUCCCUAUAAAAACAGAUGAAUUGGUCCAAGGGUUAGAUGCUAAAAAAACUUAAUAUAUCAAACAUAUGGCAAAUAGAGCAUUGAGCAACAACUACUGUUUUGACAUUGACGGACCCAUGAACAACAAGAAGUCAUAAUAAUAAAAAUUGAGUCCAAGAACAGCGUCAGGUCAAGAACUUCGAAUAUCUACACUAAACAUUUGGCUGGAAAACAAUAUGAAAGAAAAAUAUAUGUGAAAUUCAGGAAGCUAGCUAGUUCAGUACAGUAAUAAACUAGCAUGUAUUCAGUAUACUACAUGUUCGUGUGACCCUGUGCCCAAAAGUACAUCCAUGCAUCUCAUAAACAUUCUGACAAACACUCUUGCUAACAAGUCAACAUCGAUUGGACGAAAUAAUCAACUAAUGAAGACCAACGUUGAAUACAUGAUUAUUAGUAUGGUGAAGAAACUACAAACAGAACUUUCUUGAACGUAGGUGUAAUCAACUAAUGUAGUUAGUACACUUGCCCAGCAAAAAUGCAGAGCAUAUAUAUACCAACUAAUAUACACGACCAUUUUCACUAGAAUUAGAAAUGGUCGUGCUCUCUUUGACAAGGAAGAAAGCAAGAAAUGGUUGUGAUAGAUAGUGACAUCUUAGACAUAUUGUAUAGCAAAAGC